CUGUUUUUGUCUUCUGUGAACCAGAAGUACUCAGGCAAUGAGAAACCAGGGGUGGAGAAAGUAAGAGUUGGGUAAUAGGUCCCACUCCUUUAGGAGUAUGGGGUGAGGCCUGAUCAGUGAGAAAGGGGGAGUGAUACCUUCUUAUUUCAGGUCUGUGAUUUUUCCUGUUUCUAGGGCAACUUGACCACUCUUAAGUAUUGGCAGCUGUAAAAGCAGUAUUUAUCUCUGGAGACUGUUUCCUGUGGAGCAUGGGGCUGUGAGCUCCCCUUACUGGGGGAAUCCUGACUACACUGAAGGGCUGGCACCCAUAGGCGCAGCAUCCUUAUCUAGAGACUGCUUCUCUUUGCGGAGUGGGGGAAUCCUGUCUGUACUUAGGGGCUGGUAGCCGUUUGUACCUGGAAGCUGCUUCCUUUGCUUCAGAGUGUGGCAUGAUGGGGUUUAAGGAUUACCUGGGCUCCUCCAAUCAGCGGUGUGAGAUCUGUGCGGCAGAUAAUGAACACCAUGAGCCCCGUGUUGGUGCACUGCUUGUAUGCAGGGACCUCACCUGACUGCCUCCACUUCUGAAAUACCAUUGAGAGUGGCUCAGUGACUGCAGCGGUGAAUUCUCUUGGAACUGUGAGACUCAUC